rnacentral:rRNA from 1 species
AGCGAACGCUGGCGGCAGGCUUAACACAUGCAAGUCGAACGGGCGUAGCAAUACGUCAGUGGCAGACGGGUGAGUAACGCGUGGGAACGUACCUUUUGGUUCGGAACAACCCAGGGAAACUUGGGCUAAUACCGGAUAAGCCCUUACGGGGAAAGAUUUAUCGCCGGAAGAUCGGCCCGCGUCUGAUUAGCUAGUUGGUGUGGUAACGGCGCACCAAGGCGACGAUCAGUAGCUGGUCUGAGAGGAUGAUCAGCCACAUUGGGACUGAGACACGGCCCAAACUCCUACGGGAGGCAGCAGUGGGGAAUAUUGGACAAUGGGCGCAAGCCUGAUCCAGCCAUGCCGCGUGAGUGAUGAAGGCCCUAGGGUUGUAAAGCUCUUUUGUGCGGGAAGAUAAUGACGGUACCGCAAGAAUAAGCCCCGGCUAACUUCGUGCCAGCCGCCGCUGUAAC